rnacentral:ncRNA from 12 species
CCCGCAAAGCCUCUCAACGAUGAUCAAAUGUGCGGGU